rnacentral:pre_miRNA from 1 species
AGUGGAAUUGCUGGAUCAUAUGGUAACUGUGUUUAACAUUUGGAGGAAAUGCCAAACUGUUUCCCAAAGUGGCUGCACCAUUUUCCAUUCCUACUAGCAAU